GACAGAGGGGGCAAGCGUUGCUCGGAAUUACUGGGCGUAAAGGGCGCGUAGGCGGGAUGGCAAGUCGGUCGUGAAAUCCCUCGGCUCAACUGAGGAUCGUCGAUCGAUACUGCCGUUCUUGAGGAUUGCAGAGGAGACUGGAAUUCCCGGUGUAGCGGUGAAAUGUGUAGAGAUCGGGAGGAACACCGGUGGUGAAGGCGGUCUCCUGGGCCGAGGGCCGACGCUGAGGCGCGAGAGCGUGGGGAGCGAACCGG
rnacentral:rRNA from 1 species